CUGGCGGCAGGCCUAACACAUGCAAGUCGAGCGGUAGCACAGAGAGCUUGCUCUCGGGUGACGAGCGGCGGACGGGUGAGUAAUGUCUGGGAAACUGCCUGAUGGAGGGGGAUAACUACUGGAAACGGUAGCUAAUACCGCAUAACGUCGCAAGACCAAAGUGGGGGACCUUCGGGCCUCAUGCCAUCAGAUGUGCCCAGAUGGGAUUAGCUAGUAGGUGGGGUAACGGCUCACCUAGGCGACGAUCCCUAGCUGGUCUGAGAGGAUGACCAGCCACACUGGAACUGAGACACGGUCCAGACUCCUACGGGAGGCAGCAGUGGGGAAUAUUGCACAAUGGGCGCAAGCCUGAUGCAGCCAUGCCGCGUGUGUGAAGAAGGCCUUCGGGUUGUAAAGCACUUUCAGCGGGGAGGAAGGCGUUAAGGUUAAUAACCUUGGCGAUUGACGUUACCCGCAGAAGAAGCACCGGCUAACUCCGUGCCAGCAGCCGCGGUAAUACGGAGGGUGCAAGCGUUAAUCGGAAUUACUGGGCGUAAAGCGCACGCAGGCGGUCUGUCAAGUCGGAUGUGAAAUCCCCGGGCUCAACCUGGGAACUGCAUUCGAAACUGGCAGGCUAGAGUCUUGUAGAGGGGGGUAGAAUCCCAGGUGUAGCGGUGAAAUGCGUAGAGAUCUGGAGGAAUACCGGUGGCGAAGGCGGGCCCCCUGGACAAAGACUGACGCUCAGGUGCGGAAAGCGUGGGGAGCAAACAGGAUUAGAUACCCUGGUAGUCCACGCCGUAAACGAUGUCGAUUUGGAGGUUGUGCCCUUGAGGCGUGGCUUCCGGAGCUAACGCGUUAAAUCGACCGCCUGGGGAGUACGGCCGCAAGGUUAAAACUCAAAUGAAUUGACGGGGGCCCGCACAAGCGGUGGAGCAUGUGGUUUAAUUCGAUGCAACGCGAAGAACCUUACCUGGUCUUGACAUCCACAGAACUUUCCAGAGAUGGAUUGGUGCCUUCGGGAACUGUGAGACAGGUGCUGCAUGGCUGUCGUCAGCUCGUGUUGUGAAAUGUUGGGUUAAGUCCCGCAACGAGCGCAACCCUUAUCCUUUGUUGCCAGCGGUUCGGCCGGGAACUCAAAGGAGACUGCCAGUGAUAAACUGGAGGAAGGUGGGGAUGACGUCAAGUCAUCAUGGCCCUUACGACCAGGGCUACACACGUGCUACAAUGGCAUAUACAAAGAGAAGCGACCUCGCGAGAGCAAGCGGACCUCAUAAAGUAUGUCGUAGUCCGGAUUGGAGUCUGCAACUCGACUCCAUGAAGUCGGAAUCGCUAGUAAUCGUAGAUCAGAAUGCUACGGUGAAUACGUUCCCGGGCCUUGUACACACCGCCCGUCACACCAUGGGAGUGGGUUGCAAAAGAAGUAGGUAGCUUAACCUUCGGGAGGGCGCUUACCACUUUGUGAUUCAUG
rnacentral:rRNA from 1 species